ACCUGGGUGGCUCAGUCAGUUAAGUAUUUGACUUCGGCUCAGAUCAUGAUCUCAUGGUUUGUGGGUUCAAGCCCCACAUCAGGCU
rnacentral:tRNA from 1 species